GACGAACGCUGGCGGCGUGCUUAACACAUGCAAGUCGAACGGAAAGGCCCUGCUUUUGUGGGGUGCUCGAGUGGCGAACGGGUGAGUAACACGUGAGUAACCUGCCCUUGACUUUGGGAUAACUUCAGGAAACUGGGGCUAAUACCGGAUAGGAGCUCCUGCUGCAUGGUGGGGGUUGGAAAGUUUCGGCGGUUGGGGAUGGACUCUCGGCUUAUCAGCUUGUUGGUGGGGUAGUGGCUUACCAAGGCUUUGACGGGUAGCCGGCCUGAGAGGGUGACCGGCCACAUUGGGAUUGUGAUACCGCCCAAACUCCUCCAGGCGCCAGCAGUGGGGAAUUUUACACGAUGGGCGGAAGCCUGAUCAAGCAACGCGGCAGCCGGGAUGACGGCAACCGAGUUGUAAACCGCUUUCGACUGUGACGAAGCGUGAGUGACGGUAAUGAGUAAAGAAGCACCGGCUAACUACAUG
rnacentral:rRNA from 1 species